GGACCCGCACAAGCGGUGGAUGAUGUGGAUUAAUUCGAUGCAACGCGAAAAACCUUACCUACCCUUGACAUGUCAGGAAUUUUGCAGAGAUGCAAAAGUGCUCGAAAGAGAACCUGAACACAGGUGCUGCAUGGCUGUCGUCAGCUCGUGUCGUGAGAUGUUGGGUUAAGUCCCGCAACGAGCGCAACCCUUGUCAUUAGUUGCUACGCAAGGGCACUCUAAUGAGACUGCCGGUGACAAACCGGAGGAAGGUGGGGACGACGUCAAGUCCUCAUGGCCCUUAUGGGUAGGGCUGCACACGUACUACAAUGCCCAGUACAAUGUGAACCGAUACCGCAAGGUGGAGGAAAUCCUUAAAACUGGGCUCAGUUCGGAUUGUGGGCUGCAACUCGCCCACAUGAAGCUGGAAUCGCUAGUAAUCGG
rnacentral:rRNA from 1 species